rnacentral:tRNA from 1 species
GGGCCCGUAGCUCAGCUUGGUUAGACAUUUAGGACCAAAGCACUUGGCUCUUAACCAAGGGGUCGAGGGUUCAAAUCCCUCCGGGCCCA